rnacentral:rRNA from 1 species
AUUGAACGCUGGCGGCAGGCCUAACACAUGCAAGUCGAGCGGAUGAAGGGAGCUUGCUCCUGGAUUCAGCGGCGGACGGGUGAGUAAUGCCUAGGAAUCUGCCUGGUAGUGGGGGAUAACGUCCGGAAACGGGCGCUAAUACCGCAUACGUCCUGAGGGAGAAAGUGGGGGAUCUUCGGACCUCACGCUAUCAGAUGAGCCUAGGUCGGAUUAGCUAGUUGGUGGGGUAAAGGCCUACCAAGGCGACGAUUCGUAACUGGCCUGAGAGGAUGAUCAGUCACACUGGAACUGAGACACGGUCCAGACUCCUACGGGAGGCAGCAGUGGGGAAUAUUGGACAAUGGGCGAAAGCCUGAUCCAGCCAUGCCGCGUGUGUGAAGAAGGUCUUCGGAUUGUAAAGCACUUUAAGUUGGGAGGAAGGGCAGUAAGUUAAUACCUUGCUGUUUUGACGUUACCAACAGAAUAAGCACCGGCUAACUUCGUG